rnacentral:rRNA from 1 species
GACGAACGCUGGCGGCGUGCUUAACACAUGCAAGUCGAACGGAAAGGCCCUGCUUUUGUGGCGUGCUCGAGUGGCGAACGGGUGAGUAACACGUGAGUAACCUGCCCUUGACUUUGGGAUAACUUCAGGAAACUGGGGCUAAUACCGGAUAGGAGCUCCUGCUGCAUGUUGGGGGUUGGUAAGUUUCGGCGGUUGGGGAUGGACGCGCGGCUUAUCAGCUUGUUGGGGGGGUAGUGGCUUACCAAGGGUUUGACGGGUAGCCGGCCUGAGAGGCUGACCGGCCACAUUGGGACUGAGAUACGGACCAGACUCCUACGGGAGGCAGCAGUGGGGAAUAUUGCACAAUGGGCGGAAGCCUGAUGCAGCAACGCCGCGUGCGGGAUGACGGGCUUCGGGUUGUAAACCGCUUUCGCCGGUGACGAAGCGGGAGUGACGGUAAUGGGUAAAGAAGCACCGGCUAACUACGUG